GAUGUACUCCCUCCGUCCGAAAAUACUUGUCAUUGAAAUGGAUGUAUUUAGAUGUAUUUUAGUUCUAGAUACAUCCAUUUUCAUCAAUUUUGAUGACAAGUAUUUCCGGACGGAGGGAGUAACAA
rnacentral:pre_miRNA from 1 species